rnacentral:rRNA from 1 species
UACGUAGGGUGCAAGCGUUGUCCGGAAUUAUUGGGCGUAAAGCGUCCGCAGGUGGCAGUUCAAGUCUGCUGUCAAAGACCGGGGCUUAACUUCGGAAAGGCAGUGGAAACUGAACAGCUAGAGUAUGGUAGGGGCAGAGGGAAUUCCUGGUGUAGCGGUGAAAUGCGUAGAGAUCAGGAAGAACAUCGGUGGCGAAGGCGCUCUGCUGGACCAUAACUGACACUCAGGGACGAAAGCUAGGGGAGCGAAUGGG